rnacentral:rRNA from 1 species
GAUGAACGCUGGCGGCGUGCCUAACACAUGCAAGUCGAACGAAGCACUUUAAAUAGAUUUCUUCGGAAUGAAGUUUUUUGUGACUUAGUGGCGGACGGGUGAGUAACGCGUGGGUAACCUGCCCAGUACUGGGGGACAACAGUUGGAAACGACUGCUAAUACCGCAUAAGCCUACGGUGUCGCUUGACACAGUAGGAAAAAUUCCGGUGGUACUGGAUGGGCCCGCGUCUGAUUAGCUAGUUGGUAAGGUAAUGGCUUACCAAGGCGACGAUCAGUAGCCGGCUUGAGAGAGUGAACGGCCACAUUGGGACUGAGACACGGCCCAAACUCCUACGGGAGGCAGCAGUGGGGAAUAUUGCACAAUGGGGGAAACCCUGAUGCAGCAACGCCGCGUGAGUGAAGAAGUAUUUCGGUAUGUAAAGCUCUAUCAGCAGGGAAGAUAAUGACGGUACCUGACUAAGAAGCACCGGCUAAAUACGUGCCAGCCGCCGCCGUAA